rnacentral:rRNA from 1 species
GCCUUAGUAACGGCGAGUGAAGCGGCAAAAGCUCAAAUUUGAAAUCGGCCACCAGGUCGAGUUGUAAUUUGUAGAUUGUAUCUUGAGAGCGGAUUAAAGUCUGUUGGAACACAGCGCCUUAGAGGGUGACAGCCCCGUAAAAUCUAUUCUCAUUGUAAGAUACUUUCGAAGAGUCGAGUUGUUUGGGAAUGCAGCUCUAAGUGGGAGGUAAAUUCCUUCUAAAGCUAAAUAUUGACGAGAGACCGAUAGCGAACAAGUACUGUGAAGGAAAGAUGAAAAGCACUUUGAAAAGAGAGUGAAAAAGUACGUGAAAUUGUUAAAAGGGAAGGGUAUUGAAUCAGACUUGGUGCUGUUGUUCAACUGUGUUUCGGCAUAGUGUACUCAGCAGUACUAGGCCAAGGUGGGGUGUUUGGGAGUGAAAAAGAAGUAGGAACGUAACUCUUCGGAGUGUUAUAGCCUACUUUCAUAGCUCCUCAGGCGCCUCAGGACUGCGCUUCGGCAAGGACCUUGGCAUGAUGAUUCUAUACCGCCCGUCUUGAAACACGGACCA